AUUGAACGCUGGCGGCAGGCCUAACACAUGCAAGUCGAACGAGGGGCGGACGGGUGAGUAAUGUCUGGGAAACUUACCGAUGGAGGGGGAUAACUACUGGAAACGGUAGCUAAUACCGCAUACCAUCGGAUGUGCACAGAUGGGAUUAGCUAGUAGGUGGGGUAACGGCUCACCUAGGCGACGAUCCCUAGCUGGUCUGAGAGGCUGACCAGCCAAACUGGAACUGAGACACGGUCCAGACUCCUACGGGAGGCAGCAGUGGGGAAUAUUGCACAAUGGGGGAAACCCUGAUCCAGCCAUCCCGCGUGUGCGAUGAAGGCCUUCGGGUUGUAAAGCACUUUUGGCAGGAAAGCGGUACCUGCAGAAUAAGCACCGGCUAACUACGUGCCAGCAGCCGCGGUAUUC
rnacentral:rRNA from 1 species